rnacentral:tRNA from 1 species
AGCAGCUGUGGACCACCGGUAGGUCGCCAGUCUCAUAAGCUGGAGAUAGGGGGUUCGAUUCCUCCCGUUGCUACCA